UGUCAGACUUUCUUUCUUGUUUGUGAACUUCUCACGAACGAUUUCCAUUUCUGCUAAAUUUCCGUCAAACUUGAUCAUUUUUCUUGCUUUAUAUUUUUCACAUAAUCAAAUAUGGUAUCAGAGCAUUCUGAUUUAUUCGGUAUCAUCAAUUCAUUCACAUUCAAGAAUCUCUAAACUCACAGUGAAUCGUUCUAGUGGUGGAUCUCCAGCUGUUUUGUUCAUCAGAAAAUCAUGGACGCUCUAGUUGUUUUUGAUACUGUGAAGACAAACGAGGAUACUCACACCCAGAAGAAGAUUGGUUUAACUAAGGAGAGGUAAGGAUUGUACUAUCUUGAGGCUGAAAGGGUACUUACUGUAAAUGUUGUUUUAAAUCCCAAGUCUUGUUCUAGUUUUUUUUUUUCAUUGUAAUAGCAUUGUUAAUAACCACAAUUUGUGGCACUUCCUUCUUAGUCAUCCUUCUGCGCCAAAAUUGCAUGUUAUACAUCAAAAGCAUAAUUAUAUUCUUCCUUGUAAUUCCUUCAAUUGUGAUGUUUGUCAUCUCUCAAAAUAAAAGCGAUUGUCAUUCCCUA